rnacentral:lncRNA from 1 species
CAUUCCUCUUCCCUCUUCAUCUCAGUGCCUGUGUCUCGCAGCGAGGAGCUCCGUGGAGACAUCCUCUGGAGCCCUGGCAGAGUGAUGGGGAUGUUCCUGCUCCCGAAACUUUGGACAGUGUAUUUUCCUACUCAAUUAGAAGCUCCUGGUUGUGCUGUAUGAAGUGGGAGAAUACUGUUAAGAUGUGGCUCUUGUGAUUAGUUUCUACAGCAGAGAAAACUAAGUAUUAAUGUCACUUGAAAAUCUGAUUGUCAACAUCAUAAAACAGUGCUAGGAAAAGCCACAAAAUAUUGCACAAGACCCAGAAGGACUGAAAGUUGGAGGAUUUCUUUCAGGGGAUAUAUUGUUUUCACUGGUGUGUGUUGGUCAACGCAGGAAGGUACAGCUUGGAUAAAUCCAGGGUUUAUCAGACAGACCAUCACUUCCUGGAUGCCAGGGAUAUAAGGACAAGUUCAACUUGCACCAUCCUUCUCGAUUCCUUUAGCUGGCAUUUAACUUCCAGUUGGAUGCAUCAUGUAAGUAGACACAAAACUGUGCAAGAGACUGCAUACAAAGUCCUUCUUUGAAUUCCUGUGGGCAUUUGAGAUAUAUAAG